rnacentral:piRNA from 1 species
UGACUGAUGCCCGGUAAGGAGUAGAUGC